AAUAGAUACCGGGUAGUCCUAGCCGUAAACGAUGGACACUAGUUGCCGGAAGAGUCAAUCCUUCGGUGACGAAGCUAACGCAUUAAGUGUCCCGCCUGGGAAGUACGCCCGCAAGGGUGAAACUCAAAGGAAUUGACGGGGGCCCGCACAAGCGGUGGAGCAUGUGCUUUAAUUCGAUGCAACGCGAAGAACCUUACCUGGGCUUGACAUGGGGGUGAAAGGUCGCAGAGAUGUGAUCCCUUCCGCAAGGACACCCUGCGACAGGUGCUGCAUGGUUGUCGUCAGCUCGUGUCGUGAGAUGUUAGGUUAAGUCCUGCAACGAGCGCAACCCUCGCCCUUAGUUGCCAUCAGGUAAUGCUGGGAACUCUAAGGGGACCGCCUGGUUUAAACCAGGAGGAAGGUGGGGAUGACGUCAAAUCCUCAUGGCCCUUACGUCCAGGGCUAGACACGUGCUACAAUGGUAGAUACAGCGGGAUGCAAGCUGGUGACAGCAAGCCAAUCCCUUAAAAUCUAUCUCAGUCCGGAUUG
rnacentral:rRNA from 1 species